GUCUCUGUGGCGCAAUUGGGCCAGCGCACUCGGCUGUUAACCGAGAGGUUGGUGGUUCAAGCCCACCCAGGGACG